rnacentral:rRNA from 12 species
AAUGCCCAAUCCCAUCCGAUCUUGGAAGUUAAG